CUUUAUUGUUUCGCUGCCAGUGCACUUGGGAGCUUGUACACAAAGUGAUGGCCUCAUGUGUAAAAGGAAUAUCCAUAAAAAAAGAGAACAUGUUGACAGCAGAUGAGAAUAUCCAAAAGAGAGGAGCUGAAAAAGUGAGAAGGUUAAUGAACAGAAUGAAUAUAUUUUUCUGCAUAAUGGGAAAUGUGGCUAUUGUAUAGAAGAGAGGAAAGCAGCCCUUGUCAUGGAGUGCAGCAUAUCCAGAUGUAGCACUUAGUGCCACUGCACUACUGCCAGGCUUCUCUCUUGCACAGGGAAAAGUCACCAUGGAUAGAGGGGCAUUGGAAUCAUCAGAUGGAAAGAUUA